rnacentral:misc_RNA from 1 species
UACCCUUGACAUGCCAGGAACCCGAGUGAAAGCUUGGGGUGCUCGAAAGAGAACCUGGACACAGGUGCUGCAUGGCUGUCGUCAGCUCGUGUCGUGAGAUGUUGGGUUAAGUCCCGCAACGAGCGCAACCCUUGUCAUUAGUUGCUACAUUUAGUUGGGCACUCUAAUGAGACUGCCGGUGACAAACCGGAGGAAGGUGGGGAUGACGUUACGGUCUUACU